AGUGAACGCUGGCGGUAGGCCUAACACAUGCAAGUCGAACGGCAGCACAGUAAGAGCUUGCUCUUACGGGUGGCGAGUGGCGGACGGGUGAGGAAUACAUCGGAAUCUACUUUUUCGUGGGGGAUAACGUAGGGAAACUUACGCUAAUACCUCAUACGACCUACGGGUGAAAGCAGGGGAUCUUCGGACCUUGCGCGAUUGAAUGAGCCGAUGUCGGAUUAGCUAGUUGGCGGGGUAAAGGCCCACCAAGGCGACGAUCCGUAGCUGGUCUGAGAGGAUGAUCAGCCACACUGGAACUGAGACACGGUCCAGACUCCUACGGGACGCAGCAGUGGGGAAUAUUGGACAAAGGGCGCAAGCCUGAUCCAGCCAUACCGCGUGGGUGAAGAAGGCCUUCGGGUUGUAAAGCCCUUUUGUUGGGAAAGAAAAGCAGCAGGUUAAUACCCCGCUGUUCUGACGGUACCCAAAGAAUAAGCACCGGCUAACUUCGUG
rnacentral:rRNA from 1 species